CGUUGAAACACCGGUUUCCGUAUGAUCACCGAAGUUACGCAACGUCGUGUCUGGCCAGUACCUAGAUGGGUGACCGCUUGAAAAUACCAGUUAUUGUAAG